AGAGGGGAGAGCCAGUGGUGGCUUACCUGCUACACAUACGCAAAGAAGGGGAGGUACACGAGCCGCAUCAUCUCCUCCAACACCGCAUGGAUCCAAUGGAUAUGCCUGCAGCACGAACAUGAAAAGAGGAACAUGGCGUGAGGAGAACGAAAUGAAUCCUAGGGAGAGGAGGGAUGGGAGUGAGGAGGCACCUUGAUCCGUGGAGAGGAAAAUAAGCACACGCUCCAUCACAGAUCCGUGGAGAGGAGACGUCCGUCGCCGGCAUCCAUCGCCGGCCCACCGGGCCCUCCGACCGCAAACUGCUCUCAUAGGAGCUCCUUGACGAACAACUCCAUGGCGUGGGUCUCCUCCCUCCAUGUUAUGGGUCUCUAGAUGCAGAUCCUGUCCCGUCACGGAUCUAGCCGCCGCCAUGGCCUGCCUUCUGGAUCCGCGUCUCCUCGCCUCUGUUGAUGACCGUAUGCAAACCACACCAUCGAGGUAGGUCUGCCGCCACCCCGUUUGGGUGCGCGCCAGGACGGAUGCCUCACCGGCGUCGAGGUGGCAUUAGAAGGCGCCGAAGUGGGGACGAUGGUGGCUGGAACAUGUGGAUUGGGAUUGGACGGGGUGAUUGGGAGAGAUGGAGGCGGCUGCAGUAACUUGCUAGGGUUUCGGCAUAGAGGCACCCGGGUGUGGGCUUGUGGAAUUAUGGGCUGGCACUAAAAAUUUGGUCUCCCCGCGUAUGUUACACAAAAUUUUCCUUCUCCGCGCAUUGCAUCAGCUAGUUUUGGACUUUAUUUUUUUGCCCGUUGGUGGCUGCCAGUGGGCCCUAUUUCAGCUUCCUAUGAGAGCAGUUCGUUGUGAUUGAAAUUAUGAAACGUUCACAUAUUUUGACUAAUAUAUGAUGCCUUCCAAUAAUUUCAUCAUUAAUCUAUCAUGGAUUAACAGUAUUUUUUAGUGAGACCAUGGCAUAUGUCCUAAACAAACAGCCAGAGACGUGAAACGCGCGUCAAAGAAGCAAUUUGAGAGUGGUGGAUGCACAGGGGGCAUAUUUGAGAUGACCGUGGCGAGGGAAGGUAGCGGCAGUUGGAGUAUGUUGAUUGAGUGGCGGCCGGAGUUUGCCCUCGAUUUUUUUAUCGCUCUUUAAUCUCUCGUAACCUCGAAAGCUCAUUGUGCGCCCUAGAUUUGUGUUGUCCAAGGGAGGUAGAAUUGGAAAAGACCAAAAUUGACGCUCAUCUCUCGAGUGGGGAGGCGCUACCUCCAAGGCUUUAUCGUGGGUGAGCCCUACAUGCUAGCACGCCCCGCAUGUCGGUUGGCCACAAUGUCAUAUCUUGGUCCUUCCAAAGACAAUUGGAUUCCUCAUACGGAUAGGUUAAUUUGACAAGUAUGUGCAACACAUAGACAACAUUACUGCACACAUGCAUGACAUAUGUGAAAUUAUAGAGUUGUUUGUCCAAUCACCCUUAUUCAAGCCUAUGACCUUAUUAAUUUGGUCAGGUUGGACCCAAAAUAAGGCCAUGGAUAGUGUUAUAUGAUUUAUGACCUAUUGACAUAGAUAAUACUUUGACCUUUUUAACAGAAAUGGUCACAAGGGUGUACAGUUUGGACCCCCUUGGAUACCGCAUGACCAUUUGAUAUUUUUUGGUCAUAGAUCUAUGACCAAUUGAGCACGGUCAAUAUAUUUCUGUCAUAAACGGGCAUUUUUCUUGUAGUGACCUCUAUGUCAAGGAUUCAGUUAAUCCCAUAUAUCAUUCCCUUUGCCCUUCGGUAUGUUACUUGCCCAAGAUUCGAUCAUCGGUAUCUCCAUGCCUAUUUCAAUAUCGUUACCGACAAAUCUCUUUACUCGUUCCGUAUUACAAGAUCCCGUGGCUAAGUCUUUAGUCACAUUGCUUGCAAGGAUUGUUUGUGAUGUUGUAUUACCGAGUGGGUCCCGAGAUACCUCCCCAUCAUACGGAGUGACAAAUCCCACUCUUGAUCCAUGGUAACUGAAUGGACACCUUCGGAGAUACCUGUAGAGCACCUUUAUAGCCACUCGGUUACGUUGCGAUGUUUGAUACACACGAGGCAUUCCUUCGGUGUCAGUGACUUACAUGAUCUCAUGGUCAUAGGAAUGUAUACUUGACAUGAAGAAAACAAUAGCAACAAAAUAAUACGAUCACAUGCUACAUUUAUAGUUUGGGUCUUGUGCAUCAUAUCAUUCUCCUAGUUAUGUGAUCCCGUUAUCAUGUGACAACACUUGUAUAUGGCUAGGAAACCUUAACCAUUUUUAAUCAACGAGCUAGUCAACUAGAGGCUCACUUGGGACAUUGUUUUUGCUAUAUAUCCACACAUGUAUUUGUGUUUCCAUUCAAUACAAUUCUAGCAUGGAUAAUAAACGAUUAUCUUGAAACAGAAAAUAUAAUAACUGUUUUAUUAUUGCAUCUAGGGCAUAUUUCCAAUAGUCUCCCACUUGCACUAGAGUCAAUAUUCUAGCUUCACAUCUCUAUGUGAUUUACAAUGUAACGAAUCUAACACCCAUACAGUUCUGGUGUUGAUCAUGUUUUGCUCGUGGAAGAGGCUUAGUCAGCGGAUCUGCAACAUUCAGAUUUGUGUGCACUUUGCAAAUAUUUAUCUCAUCCUCCUUGAUGUAAUCGCGGAUGGCAUUGAAGCGUCGCUUUAUGUGUCUGGUCCUCUUGUGAAACCUUGGUUCCUUGGUUGGAGCAAUGGCACCAGUGUUGUCACAGAAAAGACUUAUUGGAUCCAGUGCACUUGGCACAACUCCAACAUCUAUCAUGAACUGCUUCAUCUAGACACCCUCCUUAACCGCCUCCGAGGCAGCUAUGUACUCCGCUUCGUAUGUAGAAUCAACUACAACCUUUGCUUGGAACUGCACCAGCUUACCGCACCCUAUUAAGAAUAAAUACAUAUCCUGUUUGUGACUUAGAGUCAUCCAGAUCAGUGUCGAAGCUUGCAUCGACGUAACCCUUUAUGACGAGCUCUUCGCCACCUCCAUAAAUGAGAAACAUUUCCUUAGUCCUUUUCAGGUACUUCAAAAUAUUCUUGACCGUUGUCCAGUGCUUCAUUCUUGGAUUACUUUGAAACUUGCCUGCCAUACAUUAUGGCAAGGUUGACAUCCUGUGUAGUGCACAACAUCACAUACAUGAUAGACCCUAUGGAUGAAGCAUAGGGGACGACACUCAUUGUUUCUCUAUCUUCUGCAGUCACUGGGCAUUGAGUCUUACUCAAUUCUAUACCUUGUAACACAGGCAAGAACCUCUUCUUGGAUUGUUCCAUUUUGAACUUCUUCAAAAUCUUAUCAAGGUGUGUGCUUUGUGAAAGUCCUAUUAGGCGUCUUGAUCUAUCUCUAUAGAUCUUAAUGCCUAAUAUUUAAGCAGCCUCUCCCAGGUACUUCAUCGAUUUUUUUAUUCAAGUAAUCUUUUAUGCUUCCCAAAAGUUUUACAUUGCUUCCAAUUAGCAAUAUGCCAUCCACAUAUAAUAUUAGAAACGCUAUAGAGCUCCCACUCACUUUCAAGUAAAUACAAGCUUCUCCAAAAACUUGUAUAAACCCGAACGCCUUGAUAGCCUCAUCAAAGUGUUGAUUCCAACUCUGAGAGGUUUGCACCGGUCCAUAAAUGGAUCGCUGGAGCUUGCAUUCUCUGGAUCGACAAAACCUUCCGGUUGCAUCAUAUACAACUCUUCCUUAAGAAACUCGUUAAGGAACGUUGUCUUGACAUCCAUCUGCCAAAUUUCAUAAUCGAAAAAUGCAGCUAUUGCUAACAUGAUUCUGAUGGACUUAAGCAUCUCUACUAUUGAGAAAGUCUCAUCGUAGUAAACUCCUUGAACUUGUGAAAAACCCUUUGCCACAAGUCGAGCUUUAUAGACGGUUACAUUACCGUUCGCGUCCGUCUUCUUCUUAAAGAUCCAUUUGUUCAAAAUGGCCUUUCGGCCUUCAUGUAAUACUUCCAAAGUCCAUACUUUGUUUUCAUACAUAUAUCCUAUCUUAGAUUUCAUGGCCUCUAACGAUUUGUUGGAAUCCGGGCCCACCAUUGCUUCUCCAUAGCUCACAGGUUCAUUGUUGUCCAACAACAUGAUUGAUAAGACAUGAUUCCCGUACCACUCAGGAGCAGUACGUGCCCUUGUCUACCUAUGAGGUCCGAUAGCAACUUGAUAUGAAGUUUCAUGAUCAUCAUCAUUAGCUUCCUCUUCAACUGGUAUAGCCUCGACAUAAACUUCUUUCUGUACUGCACCACCAUCUGGUUGAAGCAAAGGUUCUACAACCUCAUCAAGUUCUAUCUUCCUCCCACUCAAUUCUUUCGAGAGAAACUCUUUCUCAAAAAAAGCUCCAUUCUUAGGGACAAACACUUUGCCCUGGGAUAGUAGGUAUAAGGUAUACCCAACUAUCUAUUUUAGGUAACCUAUGAAGACACACUUUUCCGCUUUGGGUUCUAGCUUUUCAAGCUGAAGCUUUUUUUAUAUAAGCAUCACAUCCCCAAACUUUAAGAAACGAAAACUUUCGCUUCUUGCCAUACCACAGUUCAUAUGGUGUCGUCUCAAUGGAUUUUGAUGGUGCCCUCUUUAAAGUGAAUGUUGUUGUCUCCAAUGCACAGCCCCAAAACGAUAACGACAAAACGGUAAGAGACAUCAUAGAACGCACCAUAUCUAAUAAAGUACGAUUACAACGUUCGGACACACCAUUACGUUGUGUUGUGCCAGGCGGUGUCAACUAUGAAACAAUUCCAUAUUGUCUUAAGUGAGCACCAAACUCGUAACCGAGAUACUCACCUCCUCGAUCACAUCAUAGGAAUUUGAUAUUCUUCUUACAAUGAUUCUCAACUUCACUAUGAAAUUUGAUCUUCUCUGACAUAAAUGAGUAACCAUCUCACAAUAAACAAGAUCCAGAUAUAAUGUUCAUGCUUAACGCAGGCACUAAAUAACAUUUAUUUAGAUUCUUCACUAAUCCCGAUGGUAAAAGAAGUGAGAUCGUGCCGACGGCGAUCGCAUCAACCCGAACCAUUUCCCACGCGCAUCGUCACUUCAUCCUUCGCCAGCCUUCGUUUAUUCUGCAUUUCCUGUUUCGAGUUGCAAAUAUGAGCAAUAGAACCGGUAUCAAAUAUCCAGGCACUACUCUGAGAGUUGGUGAGGUAUGUAUCAAUAAUAUGUAUAUCAAAUAUACCUUGUUUGGCGUUGGCCGCAUUCUUAUCGGCCAGAUACUUGGGACAGUUUCGCUUCCACUGACCAGUCCCCUUGCAAUAAUAACACUCAAUUUCCGGCUUUGGUCCAUCCUUGGGUUUCUUCGUCGGAGCGGCAACAGCCUUGCCACUCUUCUUGGAGUUAACCUUCUUGUCGUUGCCGUUUUUCUUGAAACUAGUGGUCUUAUUGACCAUCAACACUUGAUGUUUUUUCUAGAUUUCCGACUCAGCGACUUUCAGCAUCGCAAACAGCUCGGCGAGUGACUUAUUCAUCCCUUGCAUGUUAUAGUUCAACACGAAGCUCUUUUAGCUAGGUGGGAGUGACUGAAGAACUCUCUCAGUGAUAGCCUCUUGCGGGGGAGCAAUUCCUAGCUCAGCUAGACGGUUAGAGUACCCUGGCAUUAUGAGUAUGUGUUCACUGACAGACCCGUUCUCCUCCAUUUUGCAAGCAUAGAGCUUAUCAUAGGUUUCAUACCUCUUGAUCCGGGAAUUCUUCUCAAAGAUAAAGUUCAAUUCCUGGAACAUCUCAUAUGCUCCAUGACGUUCAAAAUGUCUUUGAAGUCCCGGUUCUAAGCCAUAAAAAGCACAUUGAACUAUUGAGUAGUCAUCCUUGCGUGACUGCCAACUGUUCAUAAUGUCUUGGGUCGCCGUUUCGGAUGGUCCAUCACCUAGCGCCGCAUUAAACACAUAUUGCUUUUGGGCAGCCGUGGGGAUAAGCCUUAGGUUACGGACCCAGUCAACAAAGUUACUUCCAUCAUCUUUCAGCUUAGCUUUCUCUAGGAACGCAUUAAAAUUCACGGUUGCUAUUGCGUGAGCUAUUGAUCUACAACAUAAUAUUUUGCAAAUAAUUGAGUUUAGCUAAUCAUAUUACUAAUAAAAUCCCACUCAAAUUGAUAUCCCUCUAGUCAUUCGAGUGUCGCAUGAUCCAAAAUCACUAACUCAAGUCCGAUCAUCACGUGAUUUGAGUUUAGUUUCAAUGGUGAACAUCUCCAUGUUGAUCAUAUGAAUUAUGUGAUUCAUGCAUCAACUUUCAGUCUCUUGUGUUCCGAGGCCAUGUUUGUACAUGCUAGGCUCGUCAAGUUUAUCUUGAGUGUUCCGCAUGUGCAACUGUUUUGCACCCCUAGUAUGUGAACGUAGAGUCUAUCACACCCGAUCAUCAUGUGGUGCCUCGAAAUGACGAACUGUCGACACAGUGCACAGUCGGGGAGAACACAAUUUUAUCUUGAAAUUUUAGUGAGGGGUCACCUUAUAAUGCUACCACCGUCCUAAGUAAAUUGAGGUGCAUAAAAGGAUUAACUUCACAUGCAAAUCAUAAGUGACAUGAUAUGUCCAUGAACUUGUGAUUCUUGAUCUCCAUCACCAAACCACCGACAUGAUCUCCAUCGUCACCGGCGCCACACCAUGAUCUUCAUCAUCGUGCUACCAUUGAGGUUGUCAUGCUAACUAUGUUGUUACUACUAAAGCUACUACUAGCGAUAAAACAAAGCAUCACCAAGUGCAAAAUAAUUAAAGACAACCAUAUGGCUCCUCCCUGUUGUCGUAGCAUCGACGUGCAAGUCGAUAUUUUAUUUAUUACAACAUGAUCAUCUCAUACAUACAAUAUAUCAUAUCAUGUGUUUGGACAUAUCACAUAACAUGCAUACCCUGCAAAAACAAGUUAGACGUCCUCUAAUUUGUUGUUGAAAAUAUUACGUGGCUACUAUGGGUAUCAAGUAUGAUCGUAUCUUACUUACGCAAGGCCACAACAGUGAUAUGCAAAUUUCUAUUUAACCUUCUCCAAGGACCACCUCGGUCAAAUCCGAUUCAUCUAAAGUUGAAGAAACGGACACUUGCCAAUCAUCUUUAUGCAACAAGUUGCAUGUUAGUCGAUGAAACCGGUCUCUUGUAAGCAUACAAGUAAUGUUGGUCUGGGCCGCUUUAAUCCAACAAUACCGCUGAAUCAAGAAAAGACUAAGGAGGGCAGCAAAUUGAACAUCAACGCCCACAAACUCUUUUGUGUUCUACUCGAGAUAUCAUAUAUGCAUGAACCUAGCUCAUGAUGCCACUGAGGGGGAACGUUGCAUGGGAAACAAAAAAAAUUCCUACGCACAUGCAAGACCUAUCAUGGUGAUGAUCAUAUAGGAGAGGGGAGUUCAGAUCCACCUACCCUUGUAGAUCUCUAAGCGGGAAGCGUUAAGAAACACGGUUGAUGUAGUUGAACGUCUUCGCGAUCUGAAUCGCAAGCGUCCCACGAACUACGUCCCGAUCUAGUACCAAACGGACGACGCCUACGCGUUCAACACACGUAUAGCUCGAUGACGAUCUCCGCCUUCUUGAUCCAGCAAGAGAAACAAAGAGGUAGCUGAAUUCUCCGGGAGCACGACGGCAUGGCGGUGGAGCUACUCCGGCAGGGCUUCGUCGUGCCGUACCGAAUUAGCUAUGGGGUAACAAGAAGUGGUGGAGGGAGAGAGGACUUCACUAUGGCUUGGGGUGCCAAAAGCCUCUCAAACCUCCACUAUACAUAGGUGGAACAAGGGGGAGGGUUGCCUUGCCUCCUACUCAAAGUAGGAGGGUUUGGCCAAGCCAAGGGGAGUCCUCCUCCUUAGUUUCGGUUUGGUAGAGGACUCCCUUCACACUUGUCCAACUCGGGGGGCUAUAAUUUGGCCUUUUGCCAAAAUAGGUUAUUGGCCUGGCCUCAUCAACCCACUAAGGGAUGGUGUGCCACCCAUAGGCCUAUUAGGUCCUCUCCCGGGUGAGUGGCCCCUCCCGGUAAAACAUCAGAACCCAUUCGUCACUCUCGGUACUUCACCGAUAAUGCCCGAAAUCAUUCCGAAAGCCAAAUGCAACAUUCCUAUAUAUCAAUCUUUGUUUCUAGAUCAUUUUGGAAACCCUCGCGACAUUCGGGAUCUCAUUCGGGACUCCGAACAACAUUCGGUUACCAGCAUCAACAAUUCAACUAUACUGAAAACGUCACCGAACCUUAAGUGUGCAGACCCUGUGGGUUCGAGAACUAUGUACACAUGACCGAGACACUCUUCGGUCAAUAACCAAUAGCGGGACCUGGAUGCCUAUAUUGGAUCCUACAUAUUCUACAAAGAUCCUAACGGUUGACCUCUAUGUCAAGGAUUCAGUUAAUCCCGUAUAAUAUUUACUUUGUCCUUUGGUAUGUUACUUCCCCGAGAUUCAAUCGUCGGUAUCUCUAUACCUAUUUCAAUCUCCACUACUAGGAAAACCUUAUAGGCAGGACCUUCGUAGUAGAGCUGGAAAAACAAAAAUGCCGCUGCUAAUUAGCAGUAGCGCUGAUCCAGUCAAGCGCUACUACUAACACCUUAGCAGUAGCGCUGCUUAUCAAAAAAGCGUUACUGCUAUGUGGGACCAGACGAUGCCACCGAUGGUAGUUUUAGUAGCAGCGUUGCCCAAAAUCCAGCGCUACUUCUAAGUGGUUCGCGGUAGCAAUUUGUGUUGCAGCACCGCUGCUACUAGUGCCCCACUUAGUAGUACCGUUGCCAAAAUUGCAGUGCUACUGCUAUUUUUAACACCCCCCCCGGUGGACCGUCUUGUUUAGUUUUCUAGAAAAUAAAAAAAAUGAUAAAAUCUUCAAAAAAUAAAAUCCUUUGAGAUGUAGUUAGGUUUUAGUGCCUAGUUGGUAUACAAAUUUUGAAAUAUGAAUUUUGACCAUUUUUCAAAAAAAGGGGGGAAAUAUAAAACGGCCAUAACUUUUGCAUACGACAUCGAAAAAAAAGUACUGCCGGAGAUUUCAACUACGUCUUCGUCUCUCUUGCUCGAUCAAGAAGGCGGAGAUCGUCAUCGAGUUGUAUGUGUGCUGAACGCGGAGGUGUCGUCCGUUUGGUACUAGAUCGGGACGCAGUUCAUGGGACGCUUGCGAUUCAGAUCGCAAAGACGUUCGACUACAUCAACCGCGUUUCUUAACGCUUCCCGCUUAGAGAUCUACAAGGGUAUGUGGAUCCAAACUCCCCUCUCCUGUAUGAUCGUCAUCGUGAUAGGUCUUGCAUGUGCAUAGGAAAUUUUUUGUUUCCCAUGCAACGUUCCCCCUCAGUGGCAUCAUGAGCUAGGUUCAUGCAUAGAUGAUAUCUCGAGUAGAACACAAAAGAGUUUGUGGGCGUUGAUGUUCAAUUUGCUUCCCUCCUUAGUCUUUUCUUGAUUCAGCGAUAUUGUUGGAUUGAAGUGGCCCAGACCAACAUUACUCGUAUGCUUACGAGAUACCAUUUUCAUUGACUAACACCCAACUUGUUGCAUAAACAUGACUGGCGGGUGUCUGUUUCUUCAACUUUAGAUUAAUCGGAUUUGAACGAGGCGGUACUUGGAGAAGGUUAAAUAGCAAGGCUUUGCGUAAGUUAGAUGCAAUCAUACUAGAUACCCAUAGCAUCCAUGUAAAAUUUUCAACAACAAAUUAGAGGAUGUCUAACUUGUUUUUGCAGGGUAUGCAUGUCAUGUGAUAUGGCCAAUGACAUGAUAUGAUAUAUUGGAUGGAUGAGAUGAUCAUGUUGUAACAGUUAAAUAUCGACUUGCUCGUCGAUGCUAUGGCAACUGACAGGAGCCAUAGGGUUGUCUUUAAUUAUUUUGCGCUUGGAGAUGCUUUUCUUUAUCGCUAGUAGUAGCUUUAGUAGUAACAACAUAGUUAGCGCGACAACCUCGAUGGUGGCACGAUGAUGGAGAUCAUGGUGUAGCGCCGAUGACGACGGAGAUCAUGUUGGUGCUUUGGUGAUGGAGAUCAAGAAGCAUAAGUUCAUGGUCGUAUCAUGUCACUUUUGAUUUGCAUGUGAUGUUAUUACUUUUAUGCACCUUAUUUUUCUUAGGACGACGGUGGCAUUAUAAGGUGAUCCCUCACUAAAAUUUCAAGAUAAAAUUGUGUUCUCACCGACUGUGCACCAUUGCACAGUUCGUUGUUUCGAGACACCGCGUGAUGAUCGGGUGUGAUAGACUCUACGUUCACAUACUACGGGUGCGAAAAAGUUGCACACGCGGAACGGAACACUCGGGUUAAACUUGAAGAGACUAGCAUGUACGGAGAUGACCUCGUAACACAAGACAUCAAAAGGUUAAGCAUGAAUCAUAUAGUUGAUAUGAUCAACAUGGAGAUGUUCACCAUUGAAACUAUACUCAACUCACGUGAUGAUCAGACUUGAGUUAGUGAAUUUGGAUCAUGCGACACUCGGAUGACUAGAGGGAUGUCAAUUUGAGUGGGAUUUUAUUAGUAAUAUGAUUAGCUAAACUCAAUUGUAUUGAAUGUAGUCUAAGUAAUCUUUGCAAAAUUUUAUGUUGUAGAUCAAUGGCUCACGUAGUAGCAACCCUGAAUUUUAAUGUGUUCCUAGAGAAAUCUAAGAUGAAAGAUGACGAAAGCAACUUUGUUGACUGGGCUCGUAAUCUAAGGCUUAUCCUCAUGGCUGGCCAAUAGCAAUAUCUCCUUGAUGCACCGCUAGGUUAUGCACCUGAUACGUCCCAAGCGUAUCUAUAAUUUCUGCUUGUUCCAUGAUCUUUUGGGUGACAUUGUUAUAUGUUUUGCUACACUUCUAUAUCUUUUUACACAUAUUUGGACUAACCUACUAACUCAGUGCACCCAGUGCCAGUUUCUGUCUGCUGAUGUCUUUUUUGCACGGGCUUUUACCCAAUUUUCCGGAGCCCAAAAAUCCCGAGAAAAAUAUAUAAACAUCAGCGUAACGAAAGCUUCCGGAUCACCAAAGAUGGGCCAGAGGGGGCCAGGGGCUGCCCAGGCGACCUCCCGGUGCGGCCUGGCCCCUGGCCGCGCCCACAGGCCGCCUGGGUGGGCCCCACCUACAUUUACUCCUUCGAGAGGAAACCCUUCCGUCAUAUCCAGAAUCGUGAAUUUCUCCAUCGUUCCACCACCACAGCACUUCCGGGAUCCGGAGCGUCAGGAGACCUCUUCCCGGCACCCUGCCGGAGGGAGGAUUGACCUUCGGGAGCUUCUCCACCACCAUGGACGCUUCUCGGACGUGCCGUGAGUAGUCCUCCUUGGACCAUGAGUCCAUGACCAGUAGCUAUGUGAUGUAUUCUCUCCAAUCUUGUGCUUCAAUGAUUAGCCCUUGUGAGCUGCCCUACAUGAUCAAGGCAUCUAUGUAAUUUUCAUGCUAUUGCUAUGCUCGGUUUGUUGGGAUCCGAUGGAUUAUGAGAUUAUUUUCAUAUUGUUAUGAGUUAUAUAUUUGAUUAUCCUUUUAUAUUAUGCUCUUUAGUGAUUCAUGCAUGUUCUCUGUUGCUUUGUAUUGAUUUGGCCGAGUAGUAGAUUGUAACUCCAAGAGGGAGCGUUAUGCAUGAUUGUGGGUUCAUGCCCCCUGAUGUCUAGCUUGAGUGACAGAAACAUGGGACUAGGGUAUGUGUUGUUGCCACCAGGGAGAAAACAACGGUGCUUGUGACCAUGGUUGCAAGGAUUGUUUACCUUACACAUGGUUCGUUAAUGCAGUUGUUCGUUGCUUUGAGUUUACACUUUGGAUGGGGCUCGCAACUUAAUACCGGCGAGAUAUUCUGGAUAUAUAUCUCAAGGUGGAUGAUUAGUAAGUAGAUGUUGAUGAAUAAACGGUCUACUUGUCUUGGCGUACUGCCAAGUACUAUUGAGCCUCUAACUUUCAAGUAGUAUAAUUAGCAUUGCGGUGCGUUUAUAAUUCUGUCAAUUGCCGAGCUGUAAUUUGUUUACCCAAGCAUAGUUGUUUAUCGUAUUUUGGGAGAGAGAUAUCACUAGUGAACAUCAAGUGACUCCGGUCCAUAUCACCACCAUUGCUUAGACCUCCAUCAUUUACUGCUUUCAUUCACUGUUCCGUUGCAAUCACUAUCACUAUUCCCGCUUGUGUUUUGAUCCUUUGCAAACUAGAAGUCGGGAGAGAUUGACAACCUCUUUGUACUUGUUGGGAGCAAAGUUAUUUGUGUGUGUGCAGGUCCACGUCUUCUGCUAGCGCCAGGGCAGGGGACACCUACUUGUUGAUCCUCGGAGUCACUUGAUGUUCGAUAACCUUACAGUCUUCGUGUAAGGGAAAACUUGCUGCUGACUACAUCCCCACCUUCCACUUGGGGUAACCAAUGAGGGGCGAGAAGUAUAUUCAUCAAGUCGUCAUUAAGCAUGUUUUCUCGCGCCGUUGCCGGGGAACUCCAGUCUUCAAGAUAGGGGAGUUGCAUGCUAUCUUUUACUUUUGCUUUUUAGUCUUGCCCCCCCCCCCCCCCCCCCGCUUUAGAGUCUUAUACCAAAAUCCAAAAAAUAAGUUGUUUUGUUCUUGCUUGUUGCUGCUGCUAUGGGUUCCACUGAGAACACCAAGUUGUGUGACUUCACUAGUCACAACAACAAUGACUUUAUCUGCACUCCUAUUGCUGCUCCCGGCACUGGGCUACGUCCUAUGAGAUUAAACCUGCUUUACUAAACCUUGUUAUGAAAGAUCAAUUCUCCGGUGCUGGAGAUGAUGUUGCUUUCCACCUGAACAAUUUUGUUGAGCUUGGUGAUAUGCAAAAAUAUAAAGAAGUAGAUGAUGAUAUUGUUAAACUUAAUAUUUUUUCCUUUUUCCUUGAGAGGAGGAGCUAAAGUGUGGCUUCAAUCUUUGCCUAGGAAUAGCAUAGAUUCUUGGGAUAAGUGCAAAGAUGCUUUUAUUGGGAAGUAUUACUCGCCUGCUAAGAUUAUCCAGUUAAGAAGUAACAUUAUGAAUUUUAGGUAGCUGGAUAAGGAACACGUUGCUCAAGCUUGGGAACGUAUGAAAUCUCUUGUUAAGAUUUGCCCUACACAUGGUUUGACUACUUGGAUGGUUAUCCAAACUUUCUACGCUGGAUUGAACUUUACCUCAUGGAAUCUGUUAGACUUGGUCGCGGGAGGAACCUUUAUGUCAACUACACUUGGUGCUGCCACAAAGCUAUUGGAUGAGAUGAUGACAAGGUAUUCUCAAUGGGACACCGAGAGAUCUCAAACAGGUAGGAAGAUAAACUCUGUUGAGGAGAUCUCCUCCCUUAAUGAUAAGGUUGACAUGAUCAUGACUUUACAUACUAAGCAAGCUCCUAUUGAUCCUCAUGAUGUUCCUUUAAAUUAUUUGGUUGCUCAAGAAAGAGAGCAAGUUGAUGUUAAUUUUAUUUCUAGGAACAACUUUAACAAUAUUGCUUAUAGGAGUGAUUUUGGUAGCAAUCCUAGACCUUUCCCAUCCAACAACUAUGGGAACAACAACACCUAUAGUUACACUCCUAAUGAUAGAAGAAUACCUAGUUGUGAAAAACUUUUAGAGAUAGAGAAGGCUACAAAGAAUUAUAUGCACUCCCAAUAUGAACAAAAUAAGGCCUUCUCUAGACAAUCAGAUGAGCAUUCUUAUAUUUUGCAAAACAUUGGAAGACAACUUGAGAGCCUGAAUAGUGAGAUUUCCAAUCUCCAAACUAGACUCACCACCAUGGAGACCCAAGUCUCCAAUAUGUCUCACACACAGGCCACUUUGAUAAAUCAAAUGGCGGCCAAACCCAAAGUGGUUGUAUCUAAAGAAGAGGAAGAUAGGAUUAAGAGCCUUCCUACACACACUACCAUUGCUGCUAUACAAGUUGUUGAGGAUCUCUAAACUUUUAGCACCCAUCACACCCCUAGUCCCAAUGGUCCUAUUAAUAGUGAUGCUAAUACCUCAACUAUAGGACAAGAAGGUCCUUUGAAUUUAGAGACUACCAAAAGAAUGAGCUUAGAUGACAUUACUACCACUUUAAUUAAUGGUAGUAACCUUGAUUUUGACAGUUGUAGUCUUUCCGAAGUUAUCACUUUUUUUGGAAAGAAUGGCUAAAGAUCCCCACACUAGUACACUCAAUAUUGCCUUCACCAAGCAUAUUACCAAUGCUCUUAUCAAAGAUAGGUAGGAGAAGCUCAAGCUAGAUACUUCUAUUCCUAGGAAACUAGAAGAUGGUUGGGAUCCUAUUGUCAAGAUUAAAUUGAAUAAUAUCUCUUGCUUUGCUUUAUGUGAUGUUGGAGCUAGUGCCUCCUUUAUGCCCAAAAGAAUCUAUGGUAUGCUUGAUUUUAAACCUUUUGAUCCAUGUUCUUUUGGUGUUCGUCUUGUUAAUUCUUCCAUAAAGAAACCUUUAUGGAGAAUUGAUGAUAUUCUUAUUGUUGUCAAUGAUAAUUAUGUGCCCGUUGAUUUUCUUAUUAUGGACAUUGAGUGUGAUCCUUCAUGUCCAAUUAUUUGCCCAUUGGUGCUAACAUUGACAUGAAAGAAGGGACCAUUAGAUUCCAAUUUCCUCUUAAAAAGGGAAUGGAACACUUCCCUUGAAAGAAGAUUAAGUUACCUUAUGAGUCUGUUAUUCGGGCAAGUUAUUCUUAUGGAGUUGAUAACACUUGAUCUUUUUGCAUCAUGCCUAGCUCAAAGUCAUAAAAGAAAGCGCUUGUUGGGAGGCAACCCAAUUUGUUUUUUUACUUUCAGUUUUAAUGGUCUUGAUGCUUGUUACUACUGUAGCAACAUCAUUGUAUUUUUAUUUUCAAGCUUUGUGCCAAGUUUUAGCCUCCGAUUGCAAGAAAGUUCAAAAGUUGUGACACGCUGUCCAGAAACAGAUUCUGUCUGCUUGACGGAAAAAUUCGCCAAAAAUCACCAGAUCACCUUUUUCAUCUGAAUUUUUUAACACCAUGUUAUAUAUAAUUUUAUUUCUCACAUAUGUAUGAGUUUUUUAUUUGAGUUGUAGAAGUGCCCCGAAAAAAUUAUUUGCUACCUGUUGGUCUGCUUUUCACAUAUUCUGCUACGUUUUGCGUUUUCAUCAUUUUGCAAAUCUUAAGCUUGCUUUUCCUUUGCAAAAUCUUUUGGAAAUCAUGAGAAACAGUAGAUUUUCAUGAAAAUAUUAUUUCCAGUAGGUAAUGAAUUAUUUUAUCAUGGGUACUAACCACUCUAAUCAGCUUAUGAUGAGUUUCGUAUGAAGGGAGUUUUCAAGUAUGCGAUGGAAGAUGAUGAAAGAAGAUCCAGGAGUGUUAAGCGCUCAAGAUUGGGGAUGCCCCCAUAAACCUCCAAUAAAUAUUCAAGGAGACUCAAGCAUCUAAGCUUGGGGAUGCCCCCGUGCAUCCCCUUCUCUAUCAACAAUCAUCAGUUUGUGCACCUCCAUGCUAUAUUUUUAUCACUUCAUAUGUCAUGUGCUAUGCUUGGAGUGUCUCUCUCUUUAAUUUUUAGUUUGUUUUAGUUUUUUUUCUGUUCAUAACAAGUCGGAACCUAGCCUACCUUGUUUGGGAGAGAAACACACUCCAUUCCACUCUAGAACACAACAUAUGUUUUCAUGCUUAUCUUUUUUGUGUGUUCUCUAUCUUUACAUAGCUAUUGUCAUGCUUAGCUCUUAUUUUUCAUGCUAUAUAUUUUUAAUAGCUUUUAUUUAGGUUUCUUUUGGAACUCUCUUGAGUUAUGAUGCUUAUCUUGUUUAGAGAGUUGGCUCGUUGCACUGAGUUGUGUGUCUUCCAUGAGUAGGUAAUUGAGGUUGCUAUUUAAGUAUAGUAGUAACUUGCAAUAGUUUUGAGGUAUUGAUUUGAGUAAUGUUUGGACUAUCGGUGCCAAGGGCUUGAGCCUAUUAGUGAUAGGUGUCGUAUUUUGGGAAAUCCGUGUGUUUUCAAAAACUAAAAAUUAGUUGAGAACUCUAACUACUAAAUUGAUCAAUAACCUCUGGAGGGGUUGGAAUAUAUAGAGUACCCUCACGUUACCAUGGGUCGAGGAUGCGCAAGGAUAACCAAACCCCCAAACACUCCUCCUCGGGGUACUUGUCUCUUUGUGAAUUUCCUAACUAGAUAGAGAGUUACCGAUAAUAAGUGUAUGAGAUCUUCAGACUAAUGCGAGUAUUCAAUUGUUGGCAUUUCCACCAUCCAUAUUUUGCUAGCCUCUUCGGUACCGUGCAUUACCCUUUCUCAUCUUGACAGUUGGUGCAAACUUCGCCGGUGCAUCCAAACCCUUGGCAUGAUACGCUCUGUCAUCAUAAGCCUCAUUAUAUCUUUCCUCAAAAUAGCCACCAUACCUACCUAUUAAGGCAUUCCCAUAGCCUUUCCGAGAUACAUUGCCAUGCAACAUCCACCAUCUCAUGACUUGAUCUUCAUGUCAUACAUGCUUUGGCUUGAUCGAGGAGCCACAUGCUAGUUGGGCCUUGCCCUUAUUAUUGCUACAUGACGCGCUAGUUUCAUUGCAUAUCCUGCUACACUAACACAUGCAUACAUUUGCAUACAUUAUGAUAGUUUUCAUUUUUCUUUGUGUUGAGUACUUCUUAUAAAGUGUGAUGAUCUUCUUUUUAUUCUUCUAGAACAUAGAGUGUUGCCCUUAAGUGAGGAAAAGAUCCCAAAUAGGACAAAUGAAAAGAUCCCAAAGAGGACAAAUGAGAGAUAAAUAGAAAGAGCUAAAGAGGCCACAAAAAAUAAAAAUAAAAGNNNNNNNNNNNNNNNNNNNNNNNNNNNNNNNNGGCAACACUACUAUUCCUUUUGAAAGAUCUACACUCGUACUCCAUUACUAUAUUUGUACUACAUAGAGAUUAUCAUUCAUGCAUAACUAUGUGGGGACCCUUACACUAUAGAACUUGGCUUGCAUAUUCCAGUGAUGAGCCUCCUCAAAUGAGCUCUAUGUCUUCAUGAGGAAGCAAGUUGGAUGCACCCCCACAAGUUCCAUUUGAGAGCUUUCCUUAGCUCAUAUGUGCAUCCGUUGCAUGGAGACAUUCGAGUCACGGACAGAGAGAGCUCUUGCACCUUUAUGUUCUUACUUUGCUAAUUUCAAUACUAAAUAUAGGUUCUUGCUUGUUAAUGUCUUGACUUGAAUUGCAUAUCUCACUUACUUUACUUUGAAGUUCUUAUAUGUGUGUUAGCAUGUCACCACAAAAAUUAUUUGUGUUAUCAUUUACCUACUCCAGGGCGAGCAGGAAUUAAGCUUGGGGAUGUUGAUACGUCCCAAACGUAUCUAUAAUUUCUGCUUGUUCCAUGAUCUUUGGGUGACAUUGUUAUAUGUUUUGCUACACUUUUAUAUCUUUUUACACAUAUUUGGACUAGCCUACUAACUCAGUGAACCCAGUGCCAGUUUCUGUCUGUUGAUCUUUUUUUGCAGGGGAUUUUACCCAAUUUUCCGGAGCCCCAAAAAUCCCGAGAAAAAUAUAUAAAAAUCAGCGUAACGGAAGCUUCCAGAUCACCAAAGAUGGGCCACAGGGGGGCCAGGGGCUGCCCAGGCGACUUCCCGGCACGGUCUGGCCCCUGGUCGCGACCACAGACCUCCUGGGUGGGCCCCACCUCUUCUAACACCCUCGUUUGGCCUAUAUUUACUCCUCCGAGAGGAAACCCUUCCAUAAUAUCCAGAAUCGAGAAUUUCUCCAUCGUUCCACCGCCGCAGCGCUUCCGAGAUCGGGAGCGUCAGGAGACCUCUUCCCGGCACCCUUCCGGAGGGAGGAUUGACCUCCGAGAGCUUCUCCACCACCAUGAACGCUUCCCGGACAUGCCAUGAGUAGUCCUCCUUGGACCAUAAGUCCAUGACAAGUAGCUAUGUGAUGUCUUCUCUCCAAUCUUGUGCUUCAAUGAUUAGCCCUUGUGAGAUGCCCUACAUGAUCAAGGCAUCUAUGUAAUUUUAAUGCUAUUGCUAUGCUUGGUUUGUUGGGAUCUGAUGGAUUAUGAGAUUAUGUUCAUAUUGUUAUGAGUUAUAUAUUUUAUUAUCCUUUCACAUUAUGUUCUUCAGUGAUUCAUGCAUGUUCUCUGUUGCUUUGUAUUGAUUUGGCCGAGUAGUAGAUUGUAACUCCAAGAGGGAGCAUUAUGCAUGAUUGUGGGUUCAUGCCCCCUGAUGUCUAGCUUGAGUGAUAGAAACAUGAGACUAGGGGAUGUGAUGUUGCCACCAAGGAGAAAAGAACGGUGCUUGUGACCACGGUUGCAAGGAUUGUUUACCUUACGCAUAGUUCGUUAAUGCAGUUGUCCGUUGCUUUGAGUUUACACUUUGGGUGGGACUCGCAACUUAAUACCAGCGAGAUGUUCUUGAGAGAUAUCUCAAGGUGGAUGAUUAGUAAGUAGAUGCUGAUCAAUAAACGGUCUACUUGUCUUGGUGUACUGCGCAUUAUUAUUGAGCCUCUAACUUUCAAGUAUCAUAAUUAGCAUUGCGGUGCAUUUAUAAUUCUGUCAAUUGCCCAGCUGUAAUUUGUUUACCCAAUCAUAGUUGUUUAUUGUGUUUUGGGAGACAGACAUCACUAGUGAACAUCAUGUGACUCCGGUCCAUAUCACCACCAUUGCUUACACCUCCAUCAUUUACUGCUUUCAUUUACUUUUCCUUUGCAAUCACUAUCACUAUUCCCGCUUGUGUUUUGAUCCUUUGCAAACUACAAGGCCGGAGAGAUUGACAACCUCUCUGUACUCGUUGGGAGCAAAGUUAUUUGUGUGUGUGCAAGUCCAUGUCUUCUGCUUGCGCCAGGGUAGGGGAUGCCUACUUGUUGAUCCUCGGAGUCCUCCUGGUUCGAUAACCUUACAGUCUCCAUCUAAGGGAAACCUUGCUGCUGACUACAUCUCCACCUUCCACUUGGGGUAACUAACGAGGGGUGAUAACCCACAAGUGUAGGGGAUCGCAACAGUUUUCCUUGGUAGAGUAUUCAACCCAAAUUUGUUGAUUCGACUCAAGGGGAAGCGAAAGAAUAUUCUCAAGUUUUAGCAGCUGAGUUUGUCAGAUUCAACCACACGUGAAAGAUUAGUGUCUGCAAGCAAAGUAUCAGUAGAAAAGUAGUAUGAUAGCAACAGUGUCAGAAAAAGAUCUGUUGACGGCUGACUGGCACUCUCUGGCAAUAGCUAGACGAAUGUUGAUUCUGUAACAACAGACCUUCCACUGCAACGAAACUGGAAGAAUGUUGUUGAUGGCCCACCAGCGCGUGGGUUCGCAGCAGUUUUUGAGGGUAGAGUACUCGACCCAAAUUUGUUGAUCGACAAAGAGGAGGUGAGAGAAUACUCUCGAGUAUUAGCAGCUGAAUGUGUCAGAUUCAACUACACCUGAAAGAUUAGUAUCUGCAAGCAAAGUAGUAACAGCAAAGUUGCGAGUAACGGCAGUGGCAAGGAACAACAGUAGUGACAACAAUAGCAAGUAGCAACAGAGCAAGCGACAAUAGUAACAGUAGUAGCAGUAGAGCAAGACAAGCAACAGCAGCAGAGCAAGACAAGUGACAGCAGUAGUAGGACAAACUCGUAGGCAAUGGGUCGGUGAUUUGUUUGGACGAUAUUCAUCAUGCAACAGUUAUAACACGGAGAGAUAUGUGGCUAGCUCCCGUUCGUUAAUGUGAUGUAGGCAUGCAUUCUGUGUGUCGUCAUACGUGCUUAGGGAAAAGAACUUGCAUGACAUCUGUUGUCCAUCCCUCCCGUGGAAGCGGGGUCCAAAAGGAAACUACGGGAUAUUAAGGUUCUCCUUUUAAUAAAGAACCGGACCAACGCAUUAGCACUUGGUGAACACAUGAACUCCUCAAACAAUGGUCAUCACCGGGAGUGGUUCCGGUAAUUGUCACUCCGGGGUUGCUAGACCAUAACACAUAGUAGGUAACUACAACUUGCAAGAUCAGAUCUAAAACACACAUAUGUUGGUGACAACAUAAUAAUUUCAGAUCUUAAAUCAUGGCACUCGGGCCCUAGUGACAAGCAGUAAGCAAGGCAAAGUAGUAGCAACAUCAAUCUCAGAACAUAGUGGAUACUAGGGAUCAAUCCCCAUCAAAAGUAACUCGAUUACAUGAUAGAUCUCAUCCUACUCAUCACCGCCCAGCGAGCCUACGAAUAGAUUACUCACGAACGACGAAGAGCUUCAUGGAAUUGAAGUGGGAAGAAGGUUGAUGAUGACGAUGGCGAUGAUUUCCCCUCUCCGGAGCCCAAAACGGACUCCAGAUCUGCCCUCCAGAUGAAGAACAGGUUGUGGGGGCGCCUCCGUAUCGCAAACAUGAUGAAAUCUUCUCUUUUUAUUUUUUCUGGGACGAAAGUGAACUUAUAGAGCUGAGCUUGGGGGCAGCAGAGCCACGUGGGCCCCACAAACUUGCCCACCGCCACCAGGGGGUGGCGGUGGCAGGGCUUGUGGCCCACUGGGCCACCCCCUCAGGUGGAUCUUUGCGUAGGUAUUUUUCAUAUUUUCCAAAAAUGUUCCCCGUAACUUUUCAGGACGUUCUGAGAACUUUGAUUUCUGCACAAAAAUAACACCAAGGCAAUUCUGCUGAAAACAGCGUUAGUCCAGGUUAGUUCCAUUCAAAUCAUGCAAAUUAGAGUCCAAAACAAGGGCAAAAGAGUUUGGAAAAGUAGAUACGAUGGAGACGUAUCAACUCCCCCAAGCUUAAAACCUUGCUUGUCCUCAAGCAACUCAGUUGACAAACUGAGAGAGAAAGAAAAACUUUGAAAAACUCUGUUUGAUCUUGUUGUUGCAACUAUGUCUAACUCAUAACCAGAAUUUCAGUAAGAUCACAAGUUAACCACAUAAGCAAGUGACACAAAGGUCUCACGGUAAACUAAUAUCAAUGGCAUAAUCAGCUAACGAGCAAAUAAUAAUGAGUUUCAAAUACCAACACUUCAAUCAAAACAAGCAUGAAGCAAUAUGAAUAGGUGGUAUCUCGCUAGCUCUUUGUGAGACCACAAAACAUUAAUGCAGAGUACUUUCAAAGAUCAAGGGCUGACUAAACAUUGUAACUCAUAGCAACGAAGAUCCAGUCAUAGUCAUACUCAAUAUCAAUCAAAAGCAAAGCAUAAAAAUGACAGAGUUGCUCUAUAAUUGGUGCUUAUAUAAGAAGAGGAUGACUCGAAAGGAAAAGUAAUAGACAGGCCCUUUGCAGAGGGAAGCAUUGAUUUGCAGAGGUGCCACAGCUCAAGCUUUGAAAACAGAGAUAAUAAUUUUAGGUGGCAUGCUUUGAUUGUCAACGCAAUGACCAGGAGUUCUCAAUAUCUUCCAUGCUACUCAUGCUAUAGGCGGUUCCCAAACAGAAAAGUAAACUUUUAACUCCCCCACCACCAAUCAAUCACAGUCCACGGCUAGCCGAAUCCUCGGGUACCGUCCAUACUAACAUCAAUCCUGGGGGAGUCUUGUUUACAGUUAUGUUUUCGAUUUAAGCGUGGAACUGGGCAUUCCAAUUACCGGCCCCUUUCUCGUGAAUGACAGUGAAUAAACACAUGUUGAGGAUAACACUCCUAGCAUGGAAGAUACCAAUAUCCCUCUGUCACCACAUGAGCGGUUCGGGCAUGCAAAACAGAUUAUUUCUUGAAGGUUUAGAGAAUGGCACAUGCAAAUUUACUUGGAACGGCAGGUAGAUACCGCAAAUAGGUAGGUAUGGUGGACUGUCAUGGAAAAACUUUUGGGUUUAUGGAAGUGGAUGCACAAGCAGUAUUCCGCUUAGUACAAGUGAAGGCUAGCAAAAGACUGGGAAGCGACCAACUAGAGAGCGACAACAGUCAUCAAGAUGCAAUGAGUUUGACUAACAUUGAAUGCAAGAAUGAACAGGAUAUAAAUCACUAUGAACACAAACAUCAUAGAGGCUAUGUUGAUUUUGUUUCAACUACAUGCAUGAACAUGCGCCAAGUCAAGCUACUUGAAUCAUUCAAAGGAGAAUACCAUCCUAUCAUACUACAUCAUAGUCAUCUCAAAAUAUAUGUUGGCAUUCAAGACAAACCAUUAUAAACUCUCAGCUAAAUAAGCAUGGCAUCAGAAACUAUGAUCUCUAAGUUGUCAUUGCAAACAUGGUUCUCUCACAACAAAGUUGAAUGUGGGUCGACAAGCUAGUCAUAUUUACAAAAACAAAAUAGAUAGAGUUCAUACCAGCUUUUUAGUCUCAGUCAGUUCAUUAUAUAUCAUAAUUAUUGCCUUUCACUUGCACGAUUGAACGAUGUGAACAAUAAUAAGAGUGCUCGUGCAUUGGACUAAGCUAAAUCUGCAGGCAAACACAAAG
rnacentral:lncRNA from 1 species